GAUGAACGCUGACAGAAUGCUUAACACAUGCAAGUCUACUUGAACUUCGGUUUGGGUGGCGGACGGUUGAGUAACGCGUAAAGAACUUGCCUCACAGUUAGGGACAACAUUUGGAAACGAAAGCUAAUACCUGAUAUUAUGAUUUUAGGGCAUCCUAGGAUUAUGAAAGCUAUAUGUGCUGUGAGAGAGCUUUGCGUCCCAUUAGCUAGUUGGAGAGGUAACGGCUCACCAAGGCGAUGAUGGGUAGCCGGCCUGAGAGGGUGAACGGCCACAAGGGGACUGAGACACGGCCCUUACUCCUACGGGAGGCAGCAGUGGGGAAUAUUGGACAAUGGACCAAAAGUCUGAUCCAGCAAUUCUGUGUGCACGAUGACGUUUUUCGGAAUGUAAAGUGCUUUCAGUUGGGAAGAAAAAAAUGACGGUACCAACAGAAGAAGUGACGGCUAAAUACGUG
rnacentral:rRNA from 1 species